rnacentral:tRNA from 1 species
GCCUGGGUGGCUCAGUCAGUUGAGCAUCUGACUGCGGCUCAGGUCCCGAGCUUGCCGUUCGUGAGUUCGAGCCCCGCGUCGGGCU